rnacentral:rRNA from 1 species
AACGAACGCUGGCGGCAUGCCUAACACAUGCAAGUCGAACGAGACCUUCGGGUCUAGUGGCGCACGGGUGCGUAACGCGUGGGAACCUGCCCUUAGGUUCGGAAUAACUCCCCGGAAGGGGUGCUAAUACCGGAUAAUGUCUUCGGACCAAAGAUUUAUCGCCUUUGGAUGGGCCCGCGUUGGAUUAGCUAGUUGGUAGGGUAAAAGCCUACCAAGGCGACGAUCCAUAGCUGGUCUGAGAGGAUGAUCAGCCACACUGGGACUGAGACACGGCCCAGACUCCUACGGGAGGCAGCAGUGGGGAAUAUUGGACAAUGGGCGAAAGCCUGAUCCAGCAAUGCCGCGUGAGUGAUGAAGGCCUUAGGGUUGUAAAGCUCUUUUACCCGGGAUGAUAAUGACAUUACCGGGAGAAUAAGCUCCGGCUAACUCCGUG